rnacentral:misc_RNA from 1 species
UCAAACUUGGUCAUUUAGAGGAAGUAAAAGUCGUAACAAGGUUUCCGUAGGUGAACCUGCGGAAGGAUCAUUAUUGAAACAUUGUAAAGGAGGGUUGAGCUGGUCCUUCAAGGACAAGUGCUCGCUUUUCUUUCAAUCUUCAUCCACCUGUGCACCUUUUGUAGAGAGCUCUGAGAAAUGUGAGCCCUUUGGGUUCUAAGUAUCAGGUUCUCUAUGUCUUUAUACACUCUGAAUGUAUGUCUUUGAAUGUCUUUACAAGGAAUCCUUAAUUGGACCUUUUAAAAACUAUACAACUUUCAGCAACGGAUCUCUUGGCUCUCGCAUCAAUGAAGAACGCAGC